rnacentral:piRNA from 1 species
UGUUGAGCGCGCGCAACAAGU